rnacentral:pre_miRNA from 1 species
GAUGGGAAGAGGAAGAAAGAGGGUCUAAGAGUGGUAAGCAUGGGAACAUGAUGGAAGGCUAAAGACCUCAGUUACUUGUCUAAAACUGGAAGAGGCUGUGUUGAGUUUCCCUGAUGCCUCCCAUGCAUAUUGUUCUUUGGCGUUCUUUCCUCUUCCUUCUGGAU